UACAGAGGUGGCAAGCGUUGUUCGGAAUUACUGGGCGUAAAGGGCGCGUAGGCGGUCGCCUAAGUCGGACGUGAAAUCCCUCAGCUCAACUGGGGAACUGCGUCUGAGACUGGCCGGCUUGAGUGCAGGAGAGGAACGCGGAAUUCCAGGUGUAGCGGUGAAAUGCGUAGAUAUCUGGAGGAACACCGGUGGCGAAGGCGGCGUUCUGGACUGCUACUGACACUGAGGAACGAAAGCCAGGGGAGCAAACGGG
rnacentral:rRNA from 1 species